rnacentral:misc_RNA from 1 species
UACGGAGGGUGCGAGCGUUGUUCGGAAUCAUUGGGCGUAAAGCGCGCGCAGGCGGCUUUUUAAGUCUCACGGUCAAAGGCCGGGGCUCAACCCCGCGCAAGCCGGAGAUACUGGGGAGCUGGAGGCAGGUAGAGGCGAGUGGAAUUCCGGGUGUAGCGGUGGAAUGCGUAGAGAUCCGGAAGAACACCAGAGGCGAAGGCGGCUCGCUGGACCUGACCUGACGCUGAGGCGCGAAAGCGUGGGGAGCGAACAGG